rnacentral:lncRNA from 1 species
GUGCAUCCAUUCGUAUUGCGUAGCCUAGAGUCAGAGCUAUCACAAAGUUUGCCAACUAGGUGUUGCCUGUUAAGCAUAGUAGUCUGUUAAAUACUUGGCUAAGAGCUAAAUCUAAUGUAACUCUAAUGUCUAAGUGUUGUUGGUUUAUUAAUUGAGAUUUGAUAUAAUACUUGAUGAAUUGAUUGUAGAAAUGUUUCCCAAAUGAAAAAUGCUGA